rnacentral:rRNA from 1 species
GAUGAACGCUGGCGGCGUGCCUAAUACAUGCAAGUCGAGCGAACGGACGAGAAGCUUGCUUCUCUGAUGUUAGCGGCGGACGGGUGAGUAACACGUGGAUACCUACCUAUAAGACUGGGAUAACUUCGGGAAACCGGAGCUAAUACCGGAUGAUAUUUUGAACCGCAUGGUUCAAAAGUGAAAGACGGUCUUGCUGUCACUUAUAGAUGGAUCCGCGCUGCAUUAGCUAGUUGGUAAGGUAACGGCUUACCAAGGCAACGAUGCAUAGCCGACCUGAGAGGGUGAUCGGCCACACUGGAACUGAGACACGGUCCAGACUCCUACGGGAGGCAGCAGUAGGGAAUCUUCCGCAAUGGGCGAAAGCCUGACGGAGCAACGCCGCGUGAGUGAUGAAGGUCUUCGGAUCGUAAAACUCUGUUAUUAGGGAAGAACAUAUGUGUAAGUAACUGUGCACAUCUUGACGGUACCUAAUCAGAAAGCCACGGCUAACUACGUG